GGUUGAAGCACAGGUAAAAAUGUGUGGAGGACCGAACCAGUGAGCGUUGAAAAGCUUUUGGAUGAGAUGUGGGUAGGGGUGAAAUGCCAAUCGAACGUGGAGAUAGCUGGUUCUCCCCGAAAUAGCUUUAGGGCUAGCCUCAUGGAGAGAGUACAGGCGGUAGAGCACUGAACAGGGUAGGGGCCUAUCCGGCUACUGAACCUAAUCAAACUGCGAAUGGCUGUACUUAUACAUGGGAGUCAGACUGCGAGUAAUAAGACCCGUAGUCAAGAGGGAAACAGCCCAGACCAACAGCUAAGGUCCCCAAUGCCGUACUAAGUGGCGAAGGAUGUGGAAUUUCGAAAACAACCAGGAUGUUGGCUCAGAAGCAGCCACCAUUAAAAGAGUGCGUAAUAGCUCACUGGUCGAGAGACUCUGCGCCGAAGAUGACCGGGGCUGAAGUACGGAACCGAAGCUUUGGCAUGUACGAGAGUACAUGGGUAGGGGAGCGUUCCUGCAUGGGAGAAGCGGUACCGGAAGGAGCCGUGGACAGGCAGGAAGAGAGAAUGCCGGUAUGAGUAGCGAAAAGAAAGGUGAGAAUCCUUUCCACCGAAAGCCUAAGGGUUCCUGGGCAACGCUCGUCGUCCCAGGGUAAGUCGGGGCCUAAUCCGAGGCGGAGACGCGUAGGAGAUGGACAACAGGUUGAGAUUCCUGUACUGCAUCCGUUCGUUCGAGCGACGGAGUGACGCAAGAAGGAAAGCGCGCGUGCGACUGGAAGAGCACGUCCAAGCAGGUAGGUCGGGAGACAGGCAAAUCCGUCUCCCAUAAGGCCGAGAUGUGAUGGGGAGCUUCUGGAGACAGAAGCGAAGGGGCCGGCACUAUAUUGCCAAGAAAAGCUUCUAGUGAGAACGGAUGCACCCGUACCGAAACCGACACAGGUAGGCAGGAAGAGAAUUCUAAGGUGCGCGGGAUAACCCUCGUUAAGGAACUCGGCAAAAUAUAUCCGUAACUUCGGGAAAAGGAUAGCCUGUAGUCAGUGAAGUGCAGAAGCGCACGGAGCUAAGGCAGGCGGCAGAAGAGAGGCCCAAGCGACUGUUUACCACAAACACAGGCGUCUGCUAAAGGGAAACCUGACGUAUAGAUGCUGACACCUGCCCGGUGCUGGAAGGUUAAGAGGACUUGUUAGCGCAAGCGAAGCAGAGAAUUGAAGCCCCAGUAAACGGCGGCCGUAACUAUAACGGUCCUAAGGUAGCGAAAUUCCUUGUCGGGUAAGUUCCG
rnacentral:rRNA from 1 species